rnacentral:rRNA from 1 species
AUUGAACGCUGGCGGCAGGCCUAACACAUGCAAGUCGAGCGGGGGAAGGUAGCUUGCUACCUAACUCAGCGGCGGACGGGUGAGUAAUGCUUAGGAAUCUGCCUAUUAGUGGGGGACAACGCUUCGAAAGGGAUGCUAAUACCGCAUACGCCCUAAGGGGGAAAGCGGGGGAUCUUCGGACCUUGCGCUAAAAGAUGAGCCUAAGUCGGAUUAGCUAGUUGGUGGGGUAAAGGCCUCCCAAGGCGACGAUCUGUAGCGGGUCUGGGAGGAUGGUCCGCCACAAUGGGACUGAGACAAGGCCCAGACUCCUAAGGGAGGCAGCAGUGGGGAAUAUUGGGAAAUGGGGGGAACCCUGAUCCAGCCAUGCCGCGUGUGUGAAGAAGGCCUUUUGGUUGUAAAGCACUUUAAGCGAGGAGGAGGCUACCGAGAUUAAUACUCUUGGAUAGUGGACGUUACUCGCAGAAUAAGCACCGGCUAACUCUGUGCCAGCCGCCGCGGUAAGAC